UACGUAGGUGGCAAGCGUUGUCCGGAUUUAUUGGGUUUAAAGGGUGCGUAGGCGGCUUUGUAAGUCAGUGGUGAAAUAAUGGCAGCUCAACUGUCAGGGUGCCAUUGAUACUGCAGAGCUUGAGUACAGAUGAGGUAGGCGGAAUUGACGGUGUAGCGGUGAAAUGCUUAGAUAUCGUCAAGAACACCGAUAGCGAAGGCAGCUUACUGGGCUGUAACUGACGCUGAGGCACGAAAGUGUGGGGAUCAAACAGG
rnacentral:rRNA from 1 species